AUACGGAGGGUGCAAGCGUUACUCGGAAUCACUGGGCGUAAAGCGCGCGCAGGCGGCUUGAUAAGUUGGAUGUGAAAGCCUACGGCUCAACCGUAGAACUGCAACCAAAACUGUCAGGCUAGAGUGUGGGAGAGGAAGAUGGAAUUAGUUGUGUAGGGGUAAAAUCCGUAGAGAUAACUAGGAAUACCAAAAGCGAAGGCAAUCUUCUGGAACACUACUGACGCUGAGGCGCGAAGGCGUGGGGAGCAAACAGGAUUAGAAACCCCGGUAGUCC
rnacentral:rRNA from 1 species